CACUCCAGGCUAGGUGAUAAGAGCCAGAACUUGUCUCAAAAAAAGAAAAGAAAUGAAGGCUCACUGCUUCCCCUGCACACUUUACUUGGUUGAAACAAAUAAAAAUAAUAGAAUUCAAAUAACCUCAAAUCAUGGAAAAAAAUAUUAUCAGAACUAACCUCUAGUUCUUGGUUACAUUUUUAGAAUGUGGUAAAUGGGUAUUAAAUGAAAUUCUAACCUUAAAUAACCAACUAUAUCUUAAUAAUUAUCAAGAAAAAGUACUUUUUUUUUUUUUUCAGAGCCAGGGUCUCCCUGUGUCACCCAGGCUGGGGUGCAGUGAUGCCAUUCUAACUCACUACAGCUUCGAAUUCCUGGGCUAAGACGAUCCUCCCAGCUGAUGUGGCUGGACUGGGGGGCCACACUUAAUGAACCAUGGCUGUAAGAAGUGAUCCUGAAAGUGAUCCUGAAAGCAGAAAUGAAGGGACUUCUGUACAGUCUUACAGUGAACAAUCUGAUUCGUGUCAGUCUCCCCAUGAGAUUCUCAAGUCUAUGAGUGACAAAGUCUCACUAUGCUGCUCAGACUGAUAUCAAACUCCUACGCUCAAGCAAUCCUCUCGCCUCCACUUCCCAAAGUGCUGAGAUUACAGGCGUGAGUGAGCCACCUGGCCAGGCCCUACAGCCAAGUGAAAAACUGCAAGCAGCAGAAAAAUUUAUCUAAGAGUUUUAAAAAUACCAACAGGAGUCUGAAACCCUUCGCAGAGGCGUGCAACACACUAGGAGAGCGCUAUCUGUUUACAAAUACGAAUCUCAGUUACCCACGUCAAAACCGCGCAUUACCACCUUUCGACUGGGGGGCGGGGGAGAGAGAAGGCGGGCGAGCAAGAAACAAAAUCCACACAGACACCUCUGCCUUCUCCCUACAAGGACGAGCCCGGGGAAACAUUCAGUAUGUAUUAUAUGCGUGUAUACAUUUAUAUACAUUAUGUAGUCACCUAUGUCUAAGCAAGGGUGAAAGAAAAAGGUACACAUGACAGGGAAUCGUAACUGGACCCAACAGAAAUGUUCAAACCAAUCCCGUUAACUCAAAAUCCGCCCCGCUGGUCUACAACAGGUUUCGGUCCGGGACCGGGAGCCCCAGCCACAGUGUGGAGUUCGUCCCCAAAGCGCCCCAAUGCCCUCCUCAGGCCGCCCAGGCCGC
rnacentral:lncRNA from 1 species